GACGAACGCUGGCGGCGUGCUUAACACAUGCAAGUCGAACGCUGAAGCACCAGCUUGCUGGUGUGGAUGAGUGGCGAACGGGUGAGUAAUACGUGAGUAACCUGCCCUUGACUCUGGGAUAAGCCCGGGAAACUGGGUCUAAUACUGGAUGCUACAUGUCACCGCAUGGUGGUGUGUGGAAAGGGUUUACUGGUCUUGGAUGGGCUCACGGCCUAUCAGCUUGUUGGUGAGGUAAUGGCUCACCAAGGCGACGACGGGUAGCCGGCCUGAGAGGGUGACCGGCCACACUGGGACUGAGACACGGCCCAGACUCCUACGGGAGGCAGCAGUGGGGAAGAUUGCACAAUGGGCGAAAGCCUGAUGCAGCGACGCCGCGUGAGGGAUGACGGCCUUCGGGUUGUAAACCUCUUUCAGCAGGGAAGAAGCCACAAGUGACGGUACCUGCAGAAGAAGCGCCGGCUAACUACGUG
rnacentral:rRNA from 1 species